rnacentral:rRNA from 1 species
AUUGAACGCUGGCGGCAGGCUUAACACAUGCAAGUCGAGCGGGGUGAUGGUGCUUGCACUAUCACUUAGCGGCGGACGGGUGAGUAAUGCUUAGGAAUCUGCCUAUUAGUGGGGGACAACAUCUCGAAAGGGAUGCUAAUACCGCAUACGUCCUACGGGAGAAAGCAGGGGAUCACUUGUGACCUUGCGCUAAUAGAUGAGCCUAAGUCGGAUUAGCUAGUUGGGGGGGUAAAGGCCUGCCAAGGCGACGAUCUGUAGCGGGUCUGAGGGGAUGAUCCGCCACGCUGGGACUGGGACACGGCCCAGAAUUCUACGGGAGGCAGCAGGGGGGAAUAUUGGACAAAGGGGGGAACCCUGAUCCAGCCAUGCCGCGUGUGUGAAGAAGGCCUUAUGGUUGUAAAGCACUUUAAGCGAGGAGGAGGCUUACCUAGUUAAUACCUGGGAUAAGUGGACGUUACUCGCAGAAUAAGCACCGGCUAACUCUGUGCCAGCCGCCGCGGUAA